rnacentral:piRNA from 1 species
UGACUUUGGCUAAUAAGGAGCUCUGUGC